UACAGAGGGUGCAAGCGUUAAUCGGAAUUACUGGGCGUAAAGCGUGCGCAGGCGGUUUUGUAAGCCCGAUGUGAAAUCCCCGGGCUUAACCUGGGAAUGGCAUUUGGGACUGCAAGGCUGGAGUGCGGCAGAGGAGACUGGAAUUCCUGGUGUAGCAGUGAAAUGCGUAGAUAUCAGGAGGAAUACCGAUGGCGAAGGCAGGUCGCUGGGCUGACACUGACGCUCAUGCACGAAAGCGUGGGGAGCAAACAGG
rnacentral:rRNA from 1 species